AAAUUGAAGAGUUUGAUCAUGGCUCAGAUUGAACGCUGGCGGCAGGCCUAACACAUGCAAGUCGAACGGUAACAGGAAGAAGCUUGCUUCUUUGCUGACGAGUGGCGGACGGGUGAGUAAUGUCUGGGAAACUGCCUGAUGGAGAGGGAUAACUACUGGAAACGGUAGCUAAUACCGCAUAACGUCGCAAGACCAAAGAGGGGGAC
rnacentral:rRNA from 1 species